GGAAAAGGAGGGGAGGGAAGAGGAGGAAGAGAAAACAGUUUGGAAAGGAUAGCAGGUGGCCUUUCUAGAAUAGGAGGAUCUCAGGACCAGGCUGAGCCUUUCACUUGGAGAUGCUGUUGACUGAACCUGACACCUCUGAAUACACAACAGAAACUGUCCCAUUAAAUUGUGGCCUCGCAAGCCCUGCUCAUAGUCGGGACAAGCAAAAAAUCACUUAUGAUCUAAAGGAGAAUCAAGUAUCGGUUGCUAUCCUACUAAAAUAAUGCACCUAAGAGGAAUCUAGCCAAGGUUAUAUACAAAACUGAUCAAGUUAUAUAUAAAGGAAUGAGCAGGAGAGUUCCUGUGAGUGGAAGAAAAGGCAGCAUAGUCCAGAGUUAGAGGCUCUGGGAAGGAAGGAAGAAAACAUUUCAAAGAGAUUCUGCCUUAAUUGGUUUGCUAUAAGUCUGCCUAAAACUUAAUUUACAGAUUUCAAGAUUAUGGUAUUAUUCUGACUCGCAUUAAAGAUCCCUUU